rnacentral:rRNA from 1 species
GAUGAACGCUGGCGGCGUGCCUAAUACAUGCAAGUCGAGCGAACAGACGAGGAGCUUGCUCCUCUGACGUUAGCGGCGGACGGGUGAGUAACACGUGGAUAACCUACCUAUAAGACUGGGAUCACUACGGGAAACCGGAGCUAAUACCGGAUAAUCUAUUGAACCGUAUGGUUCAAUAGUGAAAGACGGCUUUGCUGUCACUGAUAGAUGGAUCCCCGCCGCAUUAGCUAGUUGGUAAGGUAACGGCUUACCAAGGCAACGAUGCGUAGCCGACCUGAGAGGGUGAUCGGCCACACUGGAACUGAGACACGGUCCAGACUCCUACGGGAGGCAGCAGUAGGGAAUCUUCCGCAAUGGGCGAAAGCCUGACGGAGCAACGCCGCGUGAGUGAUGAAGGUCUUCGGAUCGUAAAACUCUGUUAUUAGGGAAGAACAAAUGUGUAAGUAACUGUGCACGUCUUGACGGUACCUAAUCAGAAAGCCACGGCUAACUACGUG